rnacentral:rRNA from 1 species
GAUGAACGCUGGCGGCGUGCCUAAUACAUGCAAGUCGAGCGAACGGAGGAGGAGCUUGCUUUUCUGAUGUUAGCGGCGGACGGGUGUGUAACACGUGGAUAACCUACCUAUAAGACUGGGAUAACCUCGGGAAACCGGAGCUAAUACCGGAAAAUAGUUUGAACCGCAUGGUGCAUAAGUGAAAGACGGUCUUACUGUCACUUAUAGAUGGACCCGCGCUGCAUUAGCUAGUUGGUAAGGUAACGGCUUACCAAGGCAACGAUGCAUAGCCGACCUGAGAGAGGGCCCGGCAACCCUGGAACUGAGCCCCGUCCCAGCCCCCUCCGGGAGGAAGCAGUAGGAAUACUUCAGCAUUGGCCGAAACCCUGUCGAGGCAACGCCGCGUGAGUGAUGAAGGUCUUCGGUUCGUAAAACCCUGUUAUUAGGGAAGAACAUAUGUGUAUGUAACUGUGCCCAUCUUGCCGGUACCUAAGCAGAAGGCCCCGGCUAACUCCGG